AUACGUAGGGGGCUAGCGUUAUCCGGAAUUACUGGGCGUAAAGGGUGCGUAGGUGGUUUCUUAAGUCAGAAGUGAAAGGCUACGGCUCAACCGUAGUAAGCUUUUGAAACUAAGAGACUUGAGUGCAGGAGAGGAGAGUAGAAUUCCUAGUGUAGCGGUGAAAUGCGUAGAUAUUAGGAGGAAUACCAGUUGCGAAGGCGGCUCUCUGGACUGUAACUGACACUGAGGCACGAAAGCUUGGGGAGCAAACAGGAUUAGAUACCCUGGUAGUCCACGCCGUAAACGAUGAGUACUAGCUGUCGGGGGUUACCCCCCUCGGUGGCGCAGCUAACGCAUUAAGUACUCCGCCUGGGAAGUACGCUCGCAAGAGUGAAACUCAAAUGAAUUGACGGGG
rnacentral:rRNA from 1 species